rnacentral:rRNA from 1 species
AGAGCGAACGCUGGCGGCAGGCCUAACACAUGCAAGUCGAGCGCCCCGCAAGGGGAGCGGCAGACGGGAGAGUAACACGUGGGAACGUACCCUUUGGUUCGGAACAACACAGGGAAACUUGUGCUAAUACCGGAUAAGCCCUUACGGGGAAAGAUUUAUUGCCAAAGGAUCGGCCCGCGUCUGAUUAGCUUGUUGGUGAGGUAACGGCUCACCAAGGCUACGAUCAGUAGCUGGUCUGAGAGGAUGAUCAGCCUCACUGGGACUGAGACACGGCCCAGACUCCUACGGGAGGCAGCAGUGGGGAAUAUUGGACAAUGGGCGCAAGCCUGAUCCAGCCAUGCCGCGUGGAUGAUGAAGGCCUUAGGGUUGUAAAGUCCUUUUAACGGGAAGAUAAUGACGGUACCGUAGAAUAAGCCCGGACUAACUUCGUGCCAGCAGCCGC